AUUUUAUAUAUAUAUGUGUGUGUGUGUUUGUAUGUGCACAUAUACACAUACCACACAUAGAAACAUGCAUGACACAUGUAUAC
rnacentral:miRNA from 1 species